UACAGAGGUCUCAAGCGUUGUUCGGAUUCAUUGGGCGUAAAGGGCGCGUAGGUGGCCCGGUCAGUUCGUGGUGAAAGCGCGGGGCUCAACUCCGCGUCGGCCAUGGAUACUGCCGCGGCUGGAGCACUGUAGAGGCAGGCGGAAUUCCGGGUGUAGCGGUGGAAUGCGUAGAGAUCCGGAAGAACACCGGUGGCGAAGGCGGCCUGCUGGGCAGUGGGGGAGACCCCUCAAGCUGACACUGAGGCGCGACAGCGUGGGGAGCAAACAGG
rnacentral:rRNA from 1 species